GUCUUUUUGAAAUUUAAUAGAAAGUCUGACCUGCCCAGUGAUUAAUUUAACGGCCGCGGUAUACUGACCGUGCAAAGGUAGCAUAAUCAUUAGUCUUUUAAAAGAGGGCUGGAAUGAAAGGUUUGACGAAGUAUUAACUGUCUCAUCUUAUUUGAAAUUAAAACUUAACUUUUUAGUCAAAAGGCUUAAAUUUUAUUGGAAGACGAGAAGACCCUAUAGAGCUUUAUAUUAUUUAUUUUGAUUAAUUAUAUAUAAUUUUUAGUUAAAAUAUAUAUUAUUUUGUUGGGGUGACAAGAAAAUAAAAUUAACUUUUUUAAUUAUUUAACAUUAAUAUAUGAUUAUUUGAUCCAUUAUUAUUGAUUAUUAGACUAAGUUACCUUAGGGAUAACAGCGUAAUCCUCCCCCAGAGUUCAUAUUUACGGGUAGGGCUUGCGACCUCGAUGUUGGAUUAAGAUAAUAAUUAGGUGUAGCCGCUUAUUUUAUAGGUCUGUUCGACCUUUAAAUUCUU
rnacentral:rRNA from 1 species